rnacentral:rRNA from 1 species
UGAGGAACAUGACCUUCGGCGGGGGAUAGCCAGCCCAACGGCCGGGUAAUACCGCGUACGACCACAUGGGGACAUCCCUGAGUGGUGAAAGCAGCAAUGCGCCGAUGGAGUGCCUCGCGGCCUAUCAGCUAGUUGGUGAGGUAACGGCUCACCAAGGCGACGACGGGUAGCUGGUCUGAGAGGAUGGCCAGCCACAGUUGGGACUGAGACACGGCCCAGAUCCGUACGGGG